rnacentral:rRNA from 1 species
CCUACGGGCGGCAGCAGUGGGGAAUAUUGGGCAAUGGGCGCAAGCCUGACCCAGCAACGCCGCGUGAAGGAAGAAGGCUUUCGGGUUGUAAACUUCUUUUCUUAGGGACGAAGAAAGUGACGUUACCUCAGGAAUAAGCCACUGCUAACUACGUGCCAGCAGCCGCGGUAAUACGGAGGUGGCAAGCGUUAUCCGGAUUUAUUGGGUGUAAAGGCGGUGUAGGCGGGAAAGCAAGUCAGAUGUGAAAACUCAGGGCUCAACCCUGGGUCUGCAUUUGAAACUGUUUUUCUUGAGUGCUGGAGAGGUAAGUGGAAUUCCGUGUGUAGGGGUGAAAUGCGUAGAGAUAAGGAGGAAGACCAGUGGCGAAGGCGGAUUGCUGGACAGUAACUGACGCUAAGGCGCGAAAGCGUGGGGAGCAAACAGGAUUAGAUACCCGGGUAGUC